rnacentral:rRNA from 1 species
UACGUAGGGGGCAAGCGUUGUCCGGAUUUAUUGGGCGUAAAGAGCGUGUAGGCGGUUUGGUAGGUCCGCUGUGAAAACUCGAGGCUCAGCCUCGAGACGCCGGUGGAAACCAUCAGGCUAGAGUCCGGAAGAGGAGAGUGGAAUUCCUGGUGUAGCGGUGAAAUGCGCAGAUAUCAGGAAGAACACCCGUGGCUAAGGCGGCUCUCUAGUACGGUACUGACGCUGAGACGCGAAAGCGUGGGGAGCGAACAGG